GGGGGCGACACGGCUUCGACGUGUCUGGGAAACUCGAAGCUGCGUGCCGAGGUCCGGGGGCCUCGCUAAUCCUCCUCGGGAAUCACACAACUGCCAACUCCGACUUGGCUCUGGCCGCUUAGACAAGCAGCCCGUUUCCCGGUCUGCCCGCCCGAGGCGGGCCGCGGAAGCGUCGACGAUUCGGGCUGGUUCUCCGGUUUGGGCUACCGGACGGGAGAACGAGAUUUCAGGUAGCUAGCCCGGUGCGGGCGGUUCGCCGGCCCGCGCCGAAGGCGAAUCCGAACGGCGUUCUACGCACGUAGAAGCUUGGAAGGACUCAUUCGCGGACGCGGGUUCGACUCCCGCCGCCUCCACUC
rnacentral:tmRNA from 1 species